UUCGAUCGUUUGCUCGCGACAUUCACGAUUGCCCCCGUGAUCGGGACAGAAAUUGUUGCAGUGAAAAUAGUCAGCCUUUAUUCUUCGGAUUGAUCAGUAUUCUUUCCGAGGUCUGAGAGCUUGUGAUUCACUCUUCCUUUUUUUCUGUAGUUUUGAGACUUAGCUCCUAACCAACAACACCAACAACAACCACACCAACAACCAUGGCCGAUGAUGAAGCAAAGAAGGCCAAACAGGCCGAAAUCGAGCGCAAGCGUGCUGAGGUGCGCAAGCGUAUGGAGGAGGCCUCCAAGGCGAAAAAGGCCAAGAAAGGUUUCAUGACUCCAGAAAGAAAGAAGAAACUGAGGUUGUUGUUGCGUAAGAAAGCCGCCGAAGAACUGAAGAAGGAACAGGAGCGCAAAGCAGCGGAACGUAGGCGCAUCAUCGAGGAACGAUGCGGCAAACCGAAGAACAUCGAAGAUGCCAAUGAAGACAUGUUGAAAGACAUUGUUAAAGAAUAUUUCAACCGUAUGUAUACAUGUGAAGGCCAAAAAUGGGAUUUGGAAUACGAAGUCCGGAAAAGAGAUUGGGAGAUUUCCGACCUCAACGCUCAAGUCAACGACCUUCGCGGUAAAUUCGUCAAGCCAACGCUGAAGAAGGUCUCCAAAUACGAGAACAAAUUCGCCAAGCUGCAGAAGAAGGCCGCCGAGUUCAACUUCCGCAACCAGCUCAAGGUUGUCAAAAAGAAGGAAUUCACCCUGGAAGAGGAAGACAAGGAGAAGAAACCCGACUGGUCAAAGAAGGGCGACGCCAAGGUAAAAGAAGAAACGGAAGCUGAGGCAUAAACCGUAACUCGUUCAACCCCGAUACCCCCCAAGCUGUCUGUUUCUUAUAAUUUUCCUUCAAAAAAAAAAUAUUUAUAUAUUUGCCAACCGACGUAAUCAGAGCAACAAGUGAAAUGAACACAAACAAGAGUUUAUCUUUUGCCCCGUUACGGUUCCCUUUUUGUUCCUAUCCUGUACCCCCCUCCACCGCCUAAUGAAAAAAAAAACCGAACAUCCUUUCACGGUGUCACUAGAGAACCAAACAAGCCAACGCUAGUGUUAACACUUUGUUGUCACUCAACAAGUCUUCUAUUUUAACGUAUUUUAACUAUUUUUUUCAAAACGUGUAUUUUGGAAAGCAAAAAAAGAGUAAAAAUCAUUCUGUGAACUAAAAAAAACAAGAAAUGUGUGUUGAGUUUUCGCUCAGUGUGUAACCCUUCCGAAAGCCCCUAGCAACGAUUAACCGUCGCCUACUGCUCUUUAAUCCAACCGCAACCACGCGGUGAUACAAUUUACAGGAGGAGGAAGCGGCCGCCUAAACAGUUCUCCCUAGCAGUACGAAACCCUGGACGAUAGAGCUCGUUCGGACUGUUAAGGACACCUCAAACAAAUCGAACCGAAAAACAUUAACAAAAUACGACCAUCAUCGCCAUCACCGCACUCAUCAGCAUAUCGCCGGAAUCCCAUCCGGAGACCAAAACUCCCAUCAGCAUGAGAAGCAGAGUACCCUGACCCUGCGAAGACUAAAAUAUUUCUUUUUUAAACUCUUUAUUAAGUUUACUAGAUUUGUAGUUUAAUAACAAAAUUACUCUGUAAUGUAUUGGGUUUUUUUUCUUCUGUGGAGAUGUACACAAUCGAAGAGAGAAAACAAGCACCGGGGCAGAAGAGAAAGCUGACCUCUCUCUCUCACUCACUGUCAAUCGCCGCCGUUGCUUGUCACUGCUUGAUUUUUUUUUUGAAUGAGUAAACAUUUAUUUUUAUCUUUGUA